AGUUUAAGGGCUGAUUCAAAAAAUAAAUUUUCACACUGUGAAAUACGCAAGAUGAAGAGAACAUUUAUAAAAUAUCCAUACUGUGCAUCUCUGAAUAAUCUUUUCUUCACAUCAGCGGCAGUACAAAUUAGGUGGAGUUUUAAAAGAUACUUCAGCAACUUACAGAUUACAGCAUGUUAUGUAUCUUCAAGGUAUUUUGCUUCAUUGGUGUGCUUGAACAUUUCUGGAUUCCUAGACUCCCAGAAAGGAGUGAGAGGAUAUUACGUUGCAGAAUUUGGUCAGAAUAUGAAGUUUGGAAGACCCUAUAUUCCUGCAGAUCCUUGGAUUG
rnacentral:lncRNA from 1 species